GGUCAGGACUCCCUGAGGUGGGGGUCUGAGUUGACUCUGGCAAUGAGGGUAGCCAAGAUGUUGCCCCUUAGGCCCCAUAAAAGCAAAGUCUCCCUUUUGAUCACAGUGCUGAGGUGCGCAGCAGGGCAGAGCAGUCCCGGUGUGUCUCGUGUCACUUGUCUUUUGUGUAUUGUGUGUUGCCUGGAUAUCUCAUGUCUCUUAUCUUAGCCCUGUGAGGGGCCUCUCAGAACCCUUUCCUAGCAUCUGUGAUCUCAGCGUUCCUCGCCCUGGCACCCAUGCCAUAGAACUUUUGACUGGGGAGCUCACACAGGCAUCAGAAAUGCAUCUCUCUUUAGAAGCAUCCAGUCAGAUGUCUUGUCAGGUCUUGUUCUGAGCUGUACGGACAGCCAUGCUGCGCAAUGAUCCAUUAUAGCAGAGUAGGACUUGUAAGGAUGUGAGGUUAGGGAGAGGAUUCUGACUGUAGGAUUCUCGGGCAUCCAUCUUUGCAGUUUUUGGAAUAAAUCAUUCAGUUUGCAUCUUCUUCCUGCAGGGUUCUCUGAGCCUCAUCAGCUCGCCAUCAGCUUCAACUCUUCUUCUUUUGCCUUCUCUCAGUCCUUGCAGCCAUUUUCCUUGCUAAGAGAUUUCCGUUCCUGUUGUGUCCCCAGUGUUUGUCACGUCUUGUCUGUCCUGUGUCACGGGUGUCUGCACACAUUUGUGCUGGAGCUGCUGUUCUGCCCUGCUGCAUAGCCUGGUGCAAUAGGAGAAGUCUCAGGGACUUGGAAUUUGUAAUGUGUAGUUGGAUUCUAGAUGGGAUUUGUAGAUGGACACAGGAUACGUGGAGCCCAUAAGUUAUCCUGCAGCCCUUUGACUUUCAUCCUAACUUUCUUUUAGUUGCAGAAGGAUAAAUCCAGGGCAGAGCCCCCCAUUCUGGGUGAGGGGAUUCCCCUGUGAAGGAAGUCAAGGCAGAGAGCAGCUGUCAAGGCUGAGUGGGCAAGAUGGACUGCUUGCCAUCUAUCCUUGCCCAGCAUGCCCAUGCCAGGUGGGUUCAAGCUUAAGGUAUCA